CUGAACAGAAUCACCUCUUAAUUCUCCCUGCCAUCAGAAAAGCCAUCCAGCUGCAUAGCAAAAGGCACCUUAUCCAGAACGCAGGAUCCGGGGCCCCUCUGAGGACCCUGGAGGGGCGGGGGGAGGCAGUCCAUCAGGAUCCCCAAACACCAAUUUGCUGACCAAGAUGCCCAGUUCUCCUACAGCGCAGGAUGCGUCUGGGAGGACUGGAGGCAAGGCCUAGCCGAUGGAGUCCGGCCCACACCUCGUUUCGGUGCCUGUGACUCGGUGGCAAGACCCGCGCGCGCGAGGCAGUGGGGCGGGCGGGGCGCACUCGCCCUCUUUCCUUUCCCCGAUUCCCCCGGAGCAGGGGCUGGGCUGUGGGAGGGGCGCUCGGGGGAGGCACUCACCGAGGAUGCGGAUCUGCGUGACGGCUCCGUGCAGGCCGAAGAGC